AGCAGCCGCGAUAAUUCCAGCUCCAAUAGCGUAUAUUAAAGUUGUUGCAGUUAAAAAGCUCGUAGUUGAAUUUUGGAUUCGGCCAAUUGGUCCAUCUUUUAGAUGAGUACUGGUUGUGUUGGGUCUAUCCGCCUGGUGAUACGUAAUGUCCUUUAUUGGAUGUUGCGGGUAGUCAGGACCUUUACCUUGAAAAAUUAGAGUGUUUAAAGCAGGCCUAUGCCGGAAUACAUUAGCAUGGAAUAAUAGAAUAGGACGAAGUUGUUUUAUUUUGUUGGUUUCUAGGACAACCGUAAUGAUUAAUAGGGAUAGUUGGGGGCAUUAGUAUUCAAUUGUCAGAGGUGAAAUUCUUGGAUUUAUUGAAGACUAACUACUGCGAAAGCAUUUGCCAAGGAUGUUUUCAUUAAUCAAGAACGAAAGUUAGGGGAUCGAAGACGAUCAGAUACCGUCGUA
rnacentral:rRNA from 1 species